UCUCACAGAUGCAUUUGAAUGGCUAGGCAUUGACGCGAAGUCACUUUUAACAGGGGAAACAUAAAGAGACAUUUUCUUUCACUGGAGAUGCGGAGCAGACGGGGGAGUUGGUCUUCUCAAGGAAAACACUGAAUGGUUCAUGCUGGCUUAACAGAAAAAUCGAAAGGAGAUGAUGUGCUUGAAGAGCAUGAAGCCACCAAUACAUUAAGUGGGAUGAGAAGAGCUUUGUUAGGACACAUACCAGAGACAUGGAAGGUGUGGAACCACAUGAGUAUAAAUGAAUGACAGAAUUUUCAGUUUUGGGUUAACUAUUCUUAUAUUGUAAGUGAUACGUGUCCCUGACAUUUCACCUGAUAAAUGGAUGUGAAAUAAUCCUUUUUGUUUUUUCUUCUAUUUUACCGGAGCACUUUUGUGAUGCUGCAAGUGGGAGUUGGGUAUCUUGCCUGGCUGAAAACUGCAGAGAAACAUAUCUCGUCUUGCUGAAAACUAAAACUAAAAAUUGGUCUGCUUAUUCACGUCUGGUGUAUGAGAUUCGAGGCUAAACAAUUUUUUUUAAACAAUCAAUUAAAAAUUUUAAAAACCUUACAAAAAUAUUGGUUAAAAUGCAUUAAUCGCACAUGGCUUUGCAUGUUAAAUGAUUUACAAGGUGGUGCAAACAUUUUUCAGUGUUUGCAUUGCAGGACCUAUUUUAUUAUCGACCAUUUGAUAAGCAGUAUUCUUACAAUUCUGAUGACCGAAAUGGAUGUAUUGUGCCUUCUUGUCACUUAUUCUAAAAGUGAACUGUCAUGUUGUGAAGUGUUGACAUGUUAAUAAAAAACUGCUUUGAGAGCUGCA